rnacentral:rRNA from 1 species
UACGGAGGGAGCUAGCGUUGUUCGGAUAUACUGGGCGUAAAGCGCACGUAGGCGGCGCCGUAAGUCAGGGGUGAAAUCCCGGAGCUCAACUCCGGAACUGCCCUUGAAACUGCAGUGCUAGAAUCUUGGAGAGGCGAGUGGAAUUCCGAGUGUAGAGGUGAAAUUCGUAGAUAUUCGGAAGAACACCAGUGGCGAAGGCGACUUACUGGACACAUAUUGACGCUGAGGUGCGAAAGCGUGGGGAGCAAACAGG